AUUGAACGCUGGCGGCAGGCCUAACACAUGCAAGUCGAACGAGUGGCGGACGGGUGAGUAAUGUCUGGGAAACUGCCUGAUGGAGGGGGAUAACUACUGGAAACGGUAGCUAAUACCGCAUACCAUUAGCUGUGCCCAGAUGGGAUUAGCUAGUAGGUGGGGUAACGGCUCACCUAGGCGACGAUCCCUAGCUGGUCUGAGAGGAUGAUCAGCCACACUGUAACUGAGCCACGGUCCAGAAUCCUACGGGAGGCAGCAGUGGGGAAUAUUACACAAUGGGCGCAAGCCUGAUGCAGCCAUGCCGCGUGUGUGAAGAAGGCUUUCGGGUUGUAAAAUACUUUCAUUGGGGAGGCGUUACCCGCAGAAGAAGCACCGGCUAACUCCGUGCCAGCAGCCGCGGUAAUAC
rnacentral:rRNA from 1 species